GGUCAAGCGGUUAAGACGUCGCCCUCUCACGGCGAAAACCGGGGUUCGCGCGAGCGCAGCGACGCUCAACCAAGGGGGCCCCUUCAGGGGUUUCGGUUGAUUCCCCGCCCGCCA
rnacentral:tRNA from 1 species